CAGAUUGAACGCUGGCGGCAGGCCUAACACAUGCAAGUCGAGCGGCAGCGACUUAACUGAACCUUCGGGGAACGUUAAGGGCGGCGAGCGGCGGACGGGUGAGUAAUGCCUGGGAAUAUGCCCUGAUGUGGGGGAUAACUAUUGGAAACGAUAGCUAAUACCGCAUAAUCUCUUCGGAGCAAAGAGGGGGACCUUCGGGCCUCUCGCGUCAGGAUUAGCCCAGGUGGGAUUAGCUUGUUGGUGAGGUAAUGGCUCACCAAGGCAACGAUCCCUAGCUGGUCUGAGAGGAUGAUCAGCCACACUGGAACUGAGACACGGUCCAGACUCCUACGGGAGGCAGCAGUGGGGAAUAUUGCACAAUGGGGGAAACCCUGAUGCAGCCAUGCCGCGUGUGUGAAGAAGGCCUUCGGGUUGUAAAGCACUUUCAGUAGGGAGGAAGGUAGUGUAGUUAACACCUGCAUUAUUUGACGUUACCUACAGAAGAAGCACCGGCUAACUCCGUGCCAGCAGCCGCGGUAAUACGGAGGGUGCGAGCGUUAAUCGGAAUUACUGGGCGUAAAGCGCAUGCAGGCGGCCUGUUAAGUCAGAUGUGAAAGCCCGGGGCUUAACCUCGGAAUUGCAUUUGAAACUGGCAGGCUAGAGUCUUGUAGAGGGGGGUAGAAUUUCAGGUGUAGCGGUGAAAUG
rnacentral:rRNA from 1 species